rnacentral:rRNA from 1 species
GACGAACGCUGGCGGCGUGCUUAACACAUGCAAGUCGAACGGAAAGGCCCUGCUUUUGUGGGGUGCUCGAGUGGCGAACGGGUGAGUAACACGUGAGUAUCCUGCCCUUGACUUUGGGAUAACUUCAGGAAACUGGGGCUAAUAUCGGAUAGGAGCUCCUGCUGCAUGGUGGGGGUUGGAAAGUUUCGGCGGUUGGGGAUGGACUCGCGGCUUAUCCGCUUGUUGGUGGGGUAGUGGCUUACCAAGGCUUUGACGGGUAGCCGGCCUGAGAGGGUGACCGGCCACAUUGGGACUGAGAGACGGCCCAGACUCCUACGGGAGGCAGCAGUGGGGAAUAUUGCACAAUGGGCGGAAGCCUGAUGCAGCAGCGCCGCGUGCGGGAUGACGGCCUUCGGGUUGUAAACCGCUUUCGCCUGUGACGAAGCGGGAGUGACGGUAAUGGGUAAAGAAGCACCGGCUAACUACGUG